GCGGGCAGGAGGGCGAGAGCAGCGCGCUGUAGUCCGAGUUUGGGUUUCCGGGUACUGAGUUCCAGGAGUCAUCCCCAUCCCCCAGCCCGGGGGCGGAGAUUAGUAGAGUUAGGACUGGGAGUAGGGCGGAGAAAGCAAGGCAACUAAUCCCUGGAGAGCCCGAGGAUUACAAGAGGAAGGAAGAGGCCAUGUGCAAGUCAUCAUCAUCCUUCAAUACACAACCUGAACAUGGCCAGAUGAAACCUCUUGCUGUACCUCCAUCCUUUACAUUUUUUUUCCACAAAACCUCACUGGGAGGGUGGCUUAGAAACCAUGGCACACCAUCAUCCUGGAAAACCGAAUGAAGUUUACUGAUGCCAGAUACCUUGUCCAAGCUCCCAGAACACGGUGAAGUAGAAGAGCUGUUCUCUGCACAAUUUCAGGAAAAUGGGGCAAAUGCAUAAGACUUUGGAAUUUUCACAUUCACUAACCAAAAAAGACCUUUCUUCUAAUAGCGAUGUAAAUUCUUAGAAGAUUUCUUUGGUGUAACAGGGAAUAAGGUUCCAUUCACCCUCAGAAAGCUCCUAAAUAGACUGAAUCAAUCUUGUUUACAGAGUGGUUUUAUGCAGGAAGCAUAAUACCAGAACUUUUAGCCUCAAAAGUCAGAAGGAAAUUUAUCUACAAAGAAUCA